AAACCAUGCAUCAGACAUUUUCUAAUUAACUCUUAGAAUCGCUCCCAUGUUUCAUAUAAUGUUUCGUCUUCAGAUUGUCGAAAGGACGUAAGAUUGUUCCUUAGUUU
rfam:Gossypium arboreum cultivar AKA8401 contig_1348_5, whole genome shotgun sequence.